rnacentral:lncRNA from 1 species
CACCAGGCCUGGGGACAGGGGCCGGCCACUGGGCCGGCCGCGAGGAGCUGUCCUCAUGGCGGCCGGGUCCAGCCAUAGCCCGGCAGCGCAGUGCAGUGGGCAGCCUGCCCCACCCGCCUGCUCCCCGUGCUGCCUCAGGCCUCAGGCCCUCAGCCAGAGCACCCUCCAAGGUCCCCCAGCCCAGCCACGCGGCCUCCUUGCGGCCCGAGUCACACCCAGGGCCUAGCCUGUCCCAUACCCUGUGCCAGCAGCGCCCCCUGCUGGCUCCGCAGCCCUCCGACUCGGCUGGCUGCACCGCCUCAGGGAAGCCCUCUGGGAUCUGCCUGCCCUGCUCUCUGGAGUGAGGACCCUCCCAGCACCGAGAUGGGGAGUUUGUGCAACUCCCACUGGGUCGGCCCAGACUUGCCUCCGUUUUUCCCCCGCAAGGGGAAUGUGUUAGGUAUUUCGCUUAUUUCGGUAUCUCCAAAACUCUUAGCACAAAAUCAGGCACAUAGGAGGCCUUGAAAAGAUCCUUGUUGGUUGACGUAUUGCUGAGUGAGUGAGCUGUGAUGGCGGCACAGGCCCUGGUCCUCAGAGCCUGAGGGAGUGUGUGCACGUGUGCAUGCAUGUGCGUGUAUGUGGGAUGUGCGUGUGUCUUUGUGUGCAUAUGUGAUGUGUGUGGUGUGUAUGUGGUGUAUGUAGGUGUGUGGUGUGUGUGGUGUGUGUGUGCUGUGUGGUGUGUGUAGGUGUGUGCUGUGUGUAGGUGUGUGCUGUAUGUGUGCUGUAUGUGUGGUGUGUGGUGUGUGUAGGUGUGUGAUGUGUGUGGUGUGUGUGGUGUGUGUGUGGUGUGCGUAGGUGUGUGGUGUGUGCUGUGUGUUGGUGUGUGCUGUGUGUGCUGUAUGUGUGGUGUGUGGUGUGUGAUGUGUGUGGUGUGUGUGUGGUGUAUGUAGGUGUGUGGUGUGUGUAAGUGUGUGUGCUGUGUGGUGUGUGUGUGCUGUGUGGUGUGUGUAGGUGUGUGCUGUAUGUGUGGUGUGUGGUGUGUGGUUGUGUGUGGUGUGUGUGGUGUGUGUGUGGUGUAUUUGGGGUGUGGUGUGUGUAGGUACGUGUGCAGGUGUAGCUCACACCCCGCCUCCCUCUAGUCCCCUCACAAGUAAGCAGGACCGUCAGGCGUCCCGGGCGGGGCAG